GAUGCAAGCUGGGCAAUCGCGGCGGUAAACGUCGAGGAAGGUCCGGACUCCAUAGGGCAGGGUAACGGUUAACGGCCGUCCAGUGGGUUAGCGUGUAAGCGCUAAAACGCUGAGGAAUAGGACCACAGAGACGAGUCUGCAGUGGGGGCCAUUGAAAGGUGGCUCUGGCACGGUCAUCACCGUGCUGCGUGGUUUGCUUGCAAACCCAACAGUGCAGGGUGAAACGCGGCAACCUCUACCCGGAGCAACACCAAAUAGGCAUGCGUGCGAUGUAAAUCGUAAUGGGCGGCACCGUUCAAGUAUGCGGGUAGGUGGCUAGAGAUGCACAGUAAUGUGCGUACCAGAGGAAUGAUUGCCAGCCUGUGAAAACAGGUUUACAGAAUCCGGCCUAUAGGCUUGCAUCGCAA
rnacentral:RNase_P_RNA from 1 species